rnacentral:lncRNA from 1 species
AUGGGUAGGACCAGAGUUAUCCUAGGUUUACAGAUGUGGAGUUGCAGACGAAGCUCAGAGCCAGCGGGUACCUCAUCCAUGGGCACAUCGUUAGUAACUGCUCUGUUAAUUCUUCUAACCUUUUGUCAACUCUUUUCUUUCCUUGCUGCUAUAUGUCCGUGGCUCUCCCAGCUGGGUACCUUUUCCUGGGAUAACUGCGAUGCAGGGAAGGACCCUGCAGUGAUCAACAGCCUGACUCUGGAACCUGACCCCAUUGCCAUUCCGGGGAACUUGACCAUCACUGCUGAGGCCAAGACCAGUGCUGUCCUCAGCGAUCCUCUGAAGGUGGAAUUAACUGUGGAGAAGCACAUAGCCGGCUUCUGGGUCAAAAUCCCAUGUGUGGACAACAUUGGUAGCUGCACCUAUGACAACUUCUGUAAUAUACUUGAAAUGUUAAUUCCCAUUGAGGAACCCUGCCCGGAACCACUGCACACCUAUGGGCUUCCCUGUCACUGUCCUUUCAAAGAAGGCGCCUACUCACUGCCCAAGUCUGACUUCAUGCUGCCUGACCUGGAGUUGCCCAGCUGGCUCAGCACGGGGAACUACCGCCUGCAGACCAUCCUGAGCAACAACGAGAAGCGGCUGGCUUGUGUCAAUAUCUCCGCCUCCCUUAAAGGCAAAUAAGAUGGCACCUGCCACUGCAGAAUGAAGAGGGUGUGAGGAAGGCAUCCUCUUCCUCUGUCUUACGUUGGCUAAGGCCAGAUUCUACUCUCUGUCCUUUCUCAAGCCCUCUUCCACAAUGAUGAUGUUCCCCUGCUGAAAGUCACCUUAUGCCACCUACAGAGGUUUUAAC